UCCGAGUUGACCCCGGCGGUCUCCACUGAGUCCCCACCAUAACGUGCUGGCAACAGUGAACAAGGGUUGCGCUCGUUGCGGGACUUAACCCAACAUCUCACGACACGAGCUGACGACAGCCAUGCACCACCUGUGAACCGACCCCAAAAGAGGCACACCCAUCUCUGAGCGCUCCCGAUCCAUGUCAAACCCAGGUAAGGUUCUACGCGUUGCAUCGAAUUAAUCCGCAUGCUCCGCCGCUUGUGCGGGGCCCCGUCAAUUCCUUUGAGUUUUAGCCUUGCGGCCGUACUCCCCAGGCGGGGUACUUAAAGCGUUAGCUACGGCACGGAACCCGUGGAAUGGACCCCACACCUAGUACCCACCGUUUACAGCGUGGACUAC
rnacentral:misc_RNA from 1 species